ACAGAGGUCUCAAGCGUUGUUCGGAAUCACUGGGCGUAAAGGGUGCGUAGGUGGCGUGGUAAGUCAGAUGUGAAAGCCCGGGGCUCAACCUCGGAAUUGCAUCCGAUACUGCCGUGCUCGAGUACUGGAGAGGUGACUAGAAUUCUAGGUGUAGCAGUGAAAUGCGUAGAUAUCUAGAGGAAUACCAACGGCGAAGGCAGCACUCUGGGCAGUUUCUGACACUGAGGCACGAAGGCUAGGGGAGCAAACGGGA
rnacentral:rRNA from 1 species